rnacentral:rRNA from 1 species
UACGGAGGGUGCAAGCGUUAUCCGGAUUCACUGGGUUUAAAGGGAGCGUAGGAGGGCAGGUAAGUCAGUGGUGAAAUCUUCGAGCUUAACUCGGAAACUGCCGUUGAUACUAUCUGUCUUGAAUACCGUGGAGAUGAGCGGAAUAUGUCAUGUAGCGGUGAAAUGCUUAGAUAUGACAUAGAACACCAAUUGCGAAGGCAGCUGGCUACACGAAUAUUGACACUGAUGCACGAAAGCGUGGGGAUCAAACAGG